CGAUGAAGCCCUUCGGGGGUGUAAAGCUCUUUUCGGCAGGGAAGAUUAUGACGGUACCCUGCAGAAGCAGCUGCCGGCUAACUACGUGC
rnacentral:rRNA from 1 species